rnacentral:rRNA from 1 species
UACGUAGGGGGCUAGCGUUGUCCGGAAUCAUUGGGCGUAAAGGGCGCGUAGGCGGCCAGCACAAGUCAGUUGUGAAAUCUCCGGGCUUAACUCGGAAAGGUCAACUGAUACUGUGCGGCUAGAGUGCAGAAGGGGCAACUGGAAUUCUCGGUGUAGCGGUGAAAUGCGUAGAUAUCGAGAGGAACACCUGCGGCGAAGGCGGGUUGCUGGGCUGACACUGACGCUGAUGCGCGAAAGCCAGGGGAGCGAACGGG